rnacentral:rRNA from 1 species
GGGAGGUCGGGUCCGCCUACCAUGCAGUCGAACGGUAAGGCCCUUCGGGGUACACGAGUGGCGAACGGGUGAGUAACACGUGGGUGAUCUGCCCUGCACUUCGGGAUAAGCCCGGGAAACUGGGUCUAAUACCGGAUAGGACUGCGCGGUGCAUGCCGUGUGGUGGAAAGAUUUAUCGGUGCAGGAUGGGCCCGCGGCCUAUCAGCUUGUUGGUGGGGUAAUGGCCUACCAAGGCGACGACGGGUAGCCGGCCUGAGAGGGCGACCGGCCACACUGGGACUGAGACACGGCCCAGACUCCUACGGGAGGCAGCAGUGGGGAAUAUUGCACAAUGGGCGCAAGCCUGAUGCAGCGACGCCGCGUGAGGGAUGACGGCCUUCGGGUUGUAAACCUCUUUCAGCAGGGACGAAGCGUGAGUGACGGUACCUGCAGAAGAAGCACCGGCCAACUACGUGCCAGCAGCCGCGGUAAUACGUAGGGUGCAAGCGUUGUCCGGAAUUACUGGGCGUAAAGAGCUCGUAGGCGGUUUGUCGCGUCGUCUGUGAAAACCAGCAGCUCAACUGUUGGCUUGCAGGCGAUACGGGCAGACUUGAGUAUUUCAGGGGAGACUGGAAUUCCUGGUGUAGCGGUGAAAUGCGCAGAUAUCAGGAGGAACACCGGUGGCGAAGGCGGGUCUCUGGGAAAUAACUGACGCUGAGGAGCGAAAGCGUGGGUAGCGAACAGGAUUAGAUACCCUGGUAGUCCACGCCGUAAACGGUGGGCGCUAGGUGUGGGUUUCCUUCCACGGGAUCCGUGCCGUA